AUUGGAUGGAGGACCUCAUAGCCUCUCCUUUCUCUCCAAGGAACUCGGAAAACACCAUUUUGUUUCCAACACUGCUCCUGGGCUGGCAGCCCCUGUGUUUUGUCUCUGUAAGCAUGUGUCCAUGUGUUCAGAAAAUGUCUCUUGAAGACCCAGAGUGAAUUUGGUGACUCCAGGAGGAAAUGGAACCUUAGCAGCUAUCCACGAUAAUUCACUAUCCAAACCUAGAUCCUCUCUAGAUGGAAAAGGAUGGUUGAUAUGAAUUUUGCUGUGACAACAGGUCUAAGCUUGUCAAGGAAGAGAGAAUGGAGGAUUUUGUGGCCCAAGUGUCCUUGGCAGAGCAGGGAAACACUGAAACUUUUUAGGAAAGUACAAUAAACAGGAUGGGUGUGUUGAAAGCACAGGACAUAGUCUAUACCUGUAUAGAAAUGUGUUUGAGAGGCAUGGAUAAGCAGGCUUUAACAUAUGACAGUAGCCAUUUCAUUACAGUGGAGGGGGCUGAUGGAUAUGUAUAGCAGGCCUAGAUAUGAGAGGCCUGCUGAAGAUAAAAACCAGCUCAACUGGAGCUCCUUUGGAUGGAGUUAGGGGACUAAAGAGUACAGAGAAUAAGGAUGGAACCUUUCAAUAUAUCUACAAAGGCUGGAUCCUAAUGUGAUUCCCUACGAACUGGCACAGCAAAAUGGAGGUUCUUCAGAAACAAUUAAUUCUAUUAGAAGGACUGGAGUAAGAAAAAUUGAUUCCAGCUGAACGAAAAACUGGUCCUCUUCUGCCUUCCUGCCUCCAGGAGCCACAGAAACUACCUAUGUGGAUUUUCAGGAUUAAAAAGACAAUGGCACUUACCAGCUUUUCAGCAAGACCUGUGCCAAGACAGAAGGUGAAUUUCUUAUCUUUAAAGAGAAACACAGGCAAGAAAGAAGAGCAGGAACCCGUCAGGCUUUUACACCUUCCUGUAAAGGCAACUGCCUCUGUGUGAGUUUUUAUUGUACUCCAUACAUACUUCAGUCUUAGAAACUCACUACAUCUUGUGGAGUGUGUUAUCCUUGCCUCUUGCCCCUAGUAUACACUGAGCUAUCUUAAAUUGUAUCUUUGAUGCCUUGCACAAGUCUGAUGCCUUAGCACAUAAUAGAUGCUCAGGAAAAUAUACAUUAAUGUGAAGUGGCAACAAUUUAGUUGUAAACUGUGGAUAGUAUUUCCUUUACUUUGGGAUAAAACAGAAUAGUAACGCUUAUUUAGGUUUGUUUUGCUUUA